AAUAGAUCAAUUGGCAAGCACAAAGCAAGGCUAGUGGCUAGAGGUUUUCUUCAGAAACCUGGGCUAGAUUACUUUGAGGUGUUUGCGCCUGUAGAUAGACAUGAAACAAUCAAACUCGUGAUUGCUUUAACUGCAAAUAGAAAUUGGUCUCUGAUGCAUUUGGAUGUGAAGUCUGCAUUUCUGAAUGGUCCAUUAGAAGAGGAAGUAUACGUGUCACAACCUCCUAGUUUCGUGAAAAAGAAUCAGGAAGGGAAGGUGUACAAGUUACAUAAAGCUCUGUAUGGAUUGAAGCAAGCGCCCAGAGCUGGGAAUUUGAAGAUUGAUUCAUUUUUCAAGAAGCAAGGUUUUCAGAAGUGUGAGAUGGAGUAUGGCGU